GUAUCUUUUCCCCAGUUUUGGGGGAGAUUUGGGGCGUCUCUUCUGAGUGCCCUUAAAGCUAUAGCUUGACACUGAACGAGUGCGGGAGCGUAUGUAUUUGAAACUCUUUGAGUGCCCUAUACGAAACUCUGGCGCAAGCUCGGGCUGGGCCAAGUCCACCACGGAGGUUUGAAAAAGAACCCGAA
rnacentral:misc_RNA from 1 species